rnacentral:snRNA from 1 species
GUUCUCACUUUAGCAGCAUAUAUACUGAAAUUGAAAUGAUACAGAGAAGAUUGGCACGGCACCUAUGUAAUAAUGAUGUAAAGUCAUGAGACAGUCCAUUUUUUA